rnacentral:tRNA from 1 species
GCGGGACUGGCGAAAUUGGUAGACGCACCAGAUUUAGGUUCUGGCGCCGAGAGGUAUGUGGGUUCAAGUCCCUCGUCCCGCACCA